rnacentral:lncRNA from 1 species
GGCGGGACCCAUUACUCUGCGCAAAAGUGGUCCAGGAACCGCGUCUGUCUUCAUUGCCAGGUGGCAGAGAAUAUCACAGAGCCAGCCCCUCAGGCUUCAUAAAUAGUGUUUUAAGGAUGCAUUGACGAGAAUUGACAUUUAGUGAGAGUUCAUCCUCUGCCCGACAUUGCUAUUAAUAACCUGAGUUCUCCCGUUGAAUGAAUGGAGUCUGGAGUCCCAACUGCCCAGUCGUUAUUAGAUACACAUUGGGAAGAUGAGGACGUUUUUUCAGAGGAGAUGAGGGGCAUGCCCACAAUGACUUCGCUAAACUGGAUAGGGAGAGAGUGGAAGGGAGAUGAUUUUAGCUGAGGAACUGGCGUCUGAGGAAGGGAAGGUUAGGUAUGGGUGGAGCAGCAACUGCAGUGCAGUCUAACGGUAGGCUAAAAGAAACCUGGAUAGUAGGAACAUCAAGCUACGAUGGGACCUGGCUUCUGAACACAGUGUCAUUUACCAAGCGAGGGUGAUGUAAGAGAAGGACGCAUGAGUGAAUCCACUGACAACGGUCCCAGAGGCUGCUGAUGGAGGCCCGAAGAUUCUUCUAGAAGCCAGACAGAGAGAGAGACAGAGAGACAGAGAGAGAGAAAACAGAUAAAUAUCCCCAUUCUCCCUCCAUCAGCCCACCCUGGUGUAAUGUGUCAUAAAUAAUCUUGCAGAGGUGAGAGGACAGACCCAAAGCUACUGUGGUGAAUUGCUACUGUGGAAUUGCUGGCGUACUGGCAGUGAUCAAUACUGAAUGUCCACCUGACACUAGGUGCUGUGUUAGUGUUUCCCUCUGCCUAUCCUGCAGAGAUAGGAACAAGGACAAAAGACCGGAGAUUCUGAAACCUGCAGGGACUUAGUGGGUGUGGGGCUGAUUGCACACUGGCUGCACUGUGAGUCAGCACCUGGGAAAUGCAGUCAUUCAGUUAUCCGAGGACUCACUCAUCUGCAACCUGGCUCCACGCCAGGGGACAGAUAGCAGGCUCAGAC